ensembl:lncRNA
AUGGCCGCGUCCACGGACUUUCAGGACGAGGCUGCAUGGAUUUCCACGUUUGCAGGUAAAACUACAAACACGAUGCAGCCGCUUCAGGACGGCGAGCCUCGUCCCUCAAUGCCAGAAGCUCCAGCUGAGAACCCAAGAGUCCACCAGAGUCCCAAUGAAGCAGCUCUCUGCUGGAGCACAGACCCAGGUCACCUUCCAGAGGACGACGAGCAGGAGGCACAUGAUCCAGAUCCACCUCAGGACCAGCUGGAGGUCCAGGAAGUAAAGCAGGGUCCAGCAGCUGAUGACCAAGAGGCGGGAGGCCAGGAGCAGAAGGAGGACAGAGCUUUGCCUCCAGACCCGGACUCCAACCUAACGAUGGGGACAGCCAAUCAGGACGAAGCCGGGGAGUCAGGCGGUAGCAUGCCGUCGCCGGUCGUCACUGAGACAGAGCAGAGAAACACAGAGAUGGCGGCUCAAGGCCGCCAGCCUGAGAGAUGUUCUGAACCUGGGCCUGCGGUCGAAGAAGCAGUGCUGCAGAAAGCAGGCGGACCCUCAGACCUGGUGACCUUCGCGGCGGUGAGUGCGAGCAGGCCGACCUCCGGCAGCGACAGAGAAGACGUGACCUGCUGCGACCUGCUGUCUCUGAAGAGCGACUCGGUAUCUUUGGCCAGCGAGUCCAACGUGUUCAGGAGGGUGAGUGAAAGACGAAGAGCCGGGGCCUUCACGCAGACUUCUGUUUCCGGAAAUGCCGAGCAGCUGUUGGGAUUGGUUUACACCAGCCCGACAGCUGCACCUGUACGAGCGCUGCUGCGUGUUCGUGAGUCUGACAGUAAUGAAGUGUUACACAAAUCUGCGUCCGUGCACACAGAAACACAGAAACAUUAUGUGACAUCACUCCUCACUCUGAACACGGCACGCCAAAAUAAAAGCACAAAAAACAGGAAAGAUUUGCUAUAAAUAGUUCACAGCAACGUCUUUUACGAGCCGAUGUGUUGCUUUGGACCGAGAUGAUUUCUGUGGUUUUAGGCAUAAAGAAGAAUCAUGCUUCCAUGAUUAACUUAUUUAUUUAUCCAUCAUGGACUGAGCACAGAAACGCGGAGCUCAUUAGAAAGCUCUGUGGGCAGGUACACACUGAAUCAGAUAUAAUAUCCAUGUGCAUAUCCAGGAUGCAGAUCCAGUGUCCACAAGCAGAGAACUAGUUUCUUACAGUGCAGUUUGUUCCACGAUGAGGACAGAGGGGAGGGUCUGCAUAUUAACAGGUCACUCGACGAUUUUUAAGCAUCCAUAACAUUUGCUGUUUGUUUAUAGUGAUGUCACUGGUGACAUCACGUGGUCACGGUUUGUUCAGAACAAGCCUUGAGUAAGAGUCAGACAACACUACAGCUCUCAGCUGUUAACAUGUUACAUGUUUGAAUUUUUGAAUGGAGUCUGGUGUGUGGCUGAGGUUCUCGUCACGUUUUACCCAGACUGUGAUGUCAACAGAACCAAAACUAAACCGUAAGUGAAACAGGAAGACCCGCCUUCUCCCAUCCAUGUUUAUCACGGUGGUAAUAAAGUGUAACACAAAAACUAUUGUGUUUAAUUUAUUUUUGAUGGGUUUAUCAUUUAUUAAUGGGUGCUGUGAAGUUCGUUGACCUUAACCUGAAGGAUGAGGUUGAAUGGAGAAACAGGAGGUGUGCUGGCGCACAGCCUCAGGUGAUGUCAGGUGAGCUCAGCCUCAGCAAGGCUCCGUCUACAUUUUCAUUCAGGUUUUUUUAUGCGAUCAAAUCUGUUUCACCUUUGCCGCUCUGCGUUGUAGAUCUGAGUAAUCACACGUGUUCGCGCCCUCUCGUUCAGCCUCUCACGUUUACAUUUGCACGCCGGCGAGGAAAAGCUGACCCCAUCUUGUCGAGAUGAACCUCGUGGACUGAACAGACUCCCGCCCUCUGCAGAGGUAUCAUCAUGCAGGCUCGCCUUCAUUUGGCGGCAGGCUCCGCAUUCCCCCCGCCGAACAAGGCUACAGCGUAAUCAUAAUUCUCUUGACCUCCAGUGACCCCUGCGAGGCUCUGACAACGAGGGCCACACCACACAACAGACGGCGCCGCCUGCUCCAAAAUGGCUUUUUCAUUUCUUGAACAAUCACGCGGCGGCGGUGCUAAAUGAGAGGGCAGAUUACAUAAGGCGGGGGUUCCUGGGGUGAGAUGAGAGCUUUUUCUCCAAAACGCCGCAGCCGUUAUCGCUCUCAUUAAAUUCCUCCUCUGACUCGGAGCCUGCUUUGAAUCCAUCCAUCGGAACAACACGGCGGCUGGAAAUUCUCAAUUAAUAUGUUAAUGUGUGCGAGAUGUUUCAUCACAGGAAGCAGAGCUCAGCGCACUCACAGGUUAGCGCCAAAUUACAGAAGACCCACAAACAGCAUCAUCCAAGCCCACAGCGGCGCUUUGGAGCAGGACCGUUCAGCAGGAACGGGCCCUGAAGGAGUUCCAAUAGAACCCUCCCAUCCACAGAUGUUUUCCAUAAACAUACUGUUGGUUGUUAUUUAGCUCGUGCUCCAGGGCCGAUACGUCCAUGAGACCGAGUUUGUGGAUCGGGGAUUAAAUGAGUGAACGUUACCUGAAGUGUCGCCUUACGCUCACAUCGACAUCAGAGCUGUGUAAAAGUAAAAGCUGGGCUUUUUUCUGCCUCUCUGUGCUUUGGAUACGCUUUCUCCUUGGAUGCAUGUAUGAAGAACUGAAUUAAAUUCACACUUUAUGCUGUUAAACUGUGAAUAAAAAUUAUACUUUUGUGUCUUUUGCCAUUACUUU